rnacentral:ncRNA from 1 species
UACAGGUGUCCACCUCAGUGCAGGUGGGUGAAACUGGGAAUCUGGUGCAACACCAGAACUGCCCCCGCAACGGUAAUCGAGUAUAUAUAGACAAGCAGCCACUGCAUAACGAGAUGCGGGAAGGCGUCUAUAGGUUUGCAGCAUAAACCCCUUGAGAGUCCGGAGACCGGCCUGCUAUU